rnacentral:rRNA from 1 species
UACAGAGGUCUCAAGCGUUGUUCGGAUUCAUUGGGUGUAAAGGGUGCGUAGGCGGCGCGGUAAGUCGGGUGUGAAAUUUCGAGGCUUAACUUCGAAAACUGCAUUCGAUACUGCCGUGCUAGAGGACUGGAGAGGAGACUGGAAUUUACGGUGUAGCGGUGAAAUGCGUAGAUAUCGUAAGGAAGACCAGUGGCGAAGGCGGGUCUCUGGACAGUUCCUGACGCUGAGGCACGAAGGCCAGGGGAGCAAACGGG